AUGUCAAUAUGCUUAUACUGAAAACAAAAGUAUUAGCCGAUUGUUUUCUUUUUUUUCUCUUUUUUUUGGGACCUAAUUUUUGGUUAUAAGCAGCAGUUUGGGAACUAGUUCAUACUGUUGAACAACUCAUAACAGUUACUCUUACUCCGCCCACACGUGAUACAUUCAACUCACUGCAGUAAAUAUCCAACGCACCCUUCGCAAAAGGCGGUCUCUUUAGACUGUUUAUGUCUGCCAUGUUGCUGCUACACUGUUUAUUUGCUAACAUUAACUUACUUCUGCUGCUCAGGUAGCAUUUCACAAACUUGCCUGUUAACAACAAGUGCGUUUAUUCCGUGCUGUUGCUAGAAUUUCCGGCCAUUUGUCAUAUUCGGACCUUCAGCACCUAUUCCCAAACGACACCACUGGGAUGCCAGGGAUAACUACUUCACUCCACCAAGCUAGUACUGUGUGUGCAUACAGACAGACAAAGUGGCAUUUCCUGACUGUUCCCAUCCCCGUCUGAGUUAUCUGACACCCAAAAAUACGGCUACAGGGAAGCAGGGAGACGAGGCACCACAGCCUUAUCCCAACAGGUUGGAGGUUAAAGGGACAUUACAAAAGUCUGCCAUCACCAGAAGCCUUUUUCUCCAUCACCUCACACACACAUCAAGCAUCAGUGCCAUGGAGACUCAGAGAAAGAAAGAGAGAGACGGUGGGAGAGAGAGAUUUUCAGAAACAGGAAAGGAGACGAGAGAGGGAGACGGUAGGGGAGAGAGAGAGAGCACAUCAGGCUAAGAGAUCUGCAGUGGCUGUAUAUUUCCCAAUGCCUAGUUAAGGCUGCAAGGCAGGGGUCAGGAAACUUAAUUAUAGCGUAAGUGGAUAGAAACUGCAGAAUGAUAAAGAGAAACAUGCAGACCGAUUGGAAUGGCAAGGACAGGUUUAAUACUAUUUUAUCCUGUCUGCUUCCCUCCCACAAGCCAGACCUGCAAUCACACAAGGAAACGGCCCAUAUACCCCGCCUGACAAUAACACUAAUGCAUAUCAAAAUUACAUACUCGACAACUGCAAGGCAUUUUGCAUGGCCACUAUUACUUUCCAAUUUUGUGAGUUCAAGAAAAUACAUAUCCCAUGUAAUGGUGAUAUCAGAGGAAUUUCCAUGCUGAGCGUGUCAGAGCUUCAGAUAAGCGUUCACCUGUGGUCGAACAAGAGUUAUUAAACCAUAUCUACCCUGAUGGUCCAGCUGAAUAAAUAAUCUGUUUUUAAUUUCUAGGUCUGCCAUUAAUUCUCCAUCCUCUUCUCUUUAUUUAUUUUCCUUAAUAUCUCAAAGUCCAGAUUUUUUAGGAAGCCACAUGUGUGUCUUCCACGUGUCUUGAUUUGGAUUUCAAAUCAGUGGGCCUCAAUGGGCGGCCCAAUACACAUCGUCCACUGUGUGAGCUCUGCAAUCUAUUUGCACUGUAUACGAUUUGCAUAUCUGCAGCUCAUGAAGCAAGGCUUUAAUUUCCUCCUGCUGGAGAUAAACAUCACCUUGUUGGAGCAGAUGGGUGGAGGCAGGAUGGGGUCAAUGAAGAAGAAGCAGGACAAUGGCAUUGGUUCAGGCACUGAAUGACCAGAAGUAAUAAAAUUGCACAAUUUCCAUACGGUGGCCAAUUUUUUGGAGGAUAAAUUAGGAUCAAAUGUGAUAUAAGGAGAUGCUGCAGAAUUCUGUGAGGGGCUGAAAGGUUGGAUGGUAAUGUGGAAAUUAUAUUCAUUUUGUCACAUGUUUAUGCUCAUAUGUAUGCUACAGAGGACCACAUUUGUGUUACGGACUUGAAAAUGUGAUAAAAUCACUUCUUUUGGUAGAUUUUUUGACUAAGGCUCCUAACCUGUCUAUUAUCUUUAAUGUUACGUGACUAUAUUUCAAGCUAGUUCCUUUUAUGCCAUCAUCUUCAUAUAUAUUUUCUUGGUCAAUGUCUAUAUUGAAAAUAAUUAAUACUCUCCAUAGAGCUAGAUUCUAUUUCUUGCUACUGUUGGCAUUUUGUACUGAUCACACUAGACGAGAGGUGCCAUAUUCUAUGAAUUAGAGUGUCAACUAAGCACCUUUCUUAUGACAAUAUUAGUCACAAUGGAAAUGAUUAAUUAGCUUCAGAUAGAUGGAAUUUAAUCAGUGUCUGGGCUGGAAGGAAGUAAAUUGGACGUAAGGUUAGACAAAAUGAACUUUUCUUAAUUUUCACUUUAACUUGAGCUCACACAUUGUUGUACAGCAUUUGUAUUAGAGGGGGGAGGUGGGGAUAGCAAGAAUAGUUCCUGAAUAAUGAGCAGCUCAUGCGGGAGUUAUGUAAACCUCUUGUUAUUUGGAUGUUGGAACCUUGUAAUUAAAGUACUUCUACAGGGGAUGGUUCCGCUUUCUGCCUCGAGGAGAGCCGGGCCAGGCUGAAGGUUACAGAGGGUUAGAGGGGGUGGAUGAGGAUGAGUGGAGAGAAUGCUCUCGUCUUUUAUUAGCUCGCAUUAUCUUAUAUUUAUUUAUUUAUCAAAGACAUCUAUGCAAAUCAGGAUCCCAAGUCAUGGAUCCUACUAAUGACACAGACAAGAGUAAUUCAUUAAAAGCAGAUGCACAUAUACACACAAGCACACACAUUAUACAUGUGCAAACCCCUCAUGUAACAAGUUCAUCUGAUUUUCAAAGACGCCGCACAGUCGGAUAAGGCGAGAAGAGAGAGGAAAAGGCAAGAAAUCUGCAUCACAGUGUUAAUUUAAUCAGACUUCAGUAAUACCUCUUCUUCUCCUC